rnacentral:rRNA from 1 species
ACGCUGGCGGCACGCCUAACACAUGCAAGUCGAACGAAGUAGCAAUACUUAGUGGCAGACGGGUGAGUAACAUGUAGGUAUCUGCCCUUUGGCCUGGAAUAACACGAGGAAACUUGUGCUAAUACCGGAUAAGUCUUUACGGAGAAAGCUUUAUGCACCAUUGGAUGAGCCUGCACUUGAUUAGUUUGUUGGUAGGGUAAUGGCCUACCAAGACUGUGAUCUAUAGCUGAUUUGAGAGGAUGAUCAGCCACAUUGGGACUGAGACACGGCCCAAACUCCUACGGGAGGCAGCAGUGGGGAAUCUUGCACAAUGGAGGAAACUCUGAUGCAGCGAUGCCGCGUGAGUGAAGAAGGCCUUUGGGUUGUAAAGCUCUUUCGUCGGGGAAGAAAAUGACUGUACCCGAAUAAGAAGGUCCGGCUAACUUCGUGCCAGCAGCCGCGGUAAUACGAAGGGACCUAGCGUAGUUCGGAAUUACUGGGCUUAAAGAGUUCGUAGGUGGUUGAAAAAGUUGGUGGUGAAAUCCCAGAGCUUAACUCUGGAACUGCCAUCAAAACUUUUCAGCUAGAGUAUGAUAGAGGAAAGCAGAAUUUCUAGUGUAGAGGUGAAAUUCGUAGAUAUUAGAAAGAAUACCAAUUGCGAAGGCAGCUUUCUGGAUCAUUACUGACACUGAGGAACGAAAGCAUGGGUAGCGAAGAGGAUUAGAUACCCUCGUAGUCCAUGCCGUAAACGAUGUGUGUUAGACGUUGGAAAUUUAUUUUCAGUGUCGCAGCGAAAGCGAUAAACACACCGCCUGGGGAGUACGACCGCAAGGUUAAAACUCAAAUGAAUUGACGGGGACCCGCACAAGUAGUGGAGCAUGUGGUUUAAUUCGAAGAUACGCGCAGAACCUUACCAACACUUGACAUGUUCGUCGCAACUUUAAGAGAUUAAAGUUUUCGGUUCGGCCGGACGAAACACAGGUGCUGCAUGGCUGUCGUCAGCUCGUGUCGUGAGAUGUUGGGUUAAGUCCCGCAACGAGCGCAACCCUCACUUUUAGUUGCCAUCAUUAAGUUGGGCACUCUGAAAGAACUGCCAGUGAUAAGCUGGAGGAAGGUGGGGAUGACGUCAAGUCCUCAUGGCCCUUACGUGUUGGGCUACACACGUGCUACAAUGGUAUUUACAACAGGAAGCAAGACUGCGAAGUUAAGCAAAUCCCUAAAAAAUACCUCAGUUCGGAUUGCACUCUGCAACUCGAGUGCAUGAGGCUGGAAUUACUAGUAAUCGUGGAUCAGCGUGCCACGGUGAAUGCGUUCCCGGGUCUUGUACACACCGC